rnacentral:lncRNA from 1 species
AAUUUUUUAAAAAAUUAUUCAUUUAUUUUUUCUUUUUCAAAAGAUCUUUUUUUUUCCCAAGUAAGCCUUGGGACCAAAUUUAAUCUACCACCUGUUUUUGCAAAUAACGUUUCAUUGGAAUACAGCCUCACCCAUUUGUGUAUCAUCUACAGCUGCUUUUAUGCAACAAUGGCAGAGCUAAGUAGAUGAGAUAGAGAUUGUAUUGUACAAAAGGUGUAAAAUCUUUACUAUCUGACCCUUUGUAGAAAAAGUCUGCUGACCUCUUGUUUAAAGGAUAAAGUAGGUACUUUCUUAGUGUAUUUAAAACAGGAUUCUAUUUGUGAAAAUUUGAUUGCCACACAACUUUUCAGGUACACAUAGUACAUAUGAACUAAAUUAGUGCCUAGGUAUAUGGGGCAGAAAUCUGAGACCAUGGCAUAGAAAAUUCAGACUCCCCCAAACCUGAAUGCCAGUCAAAAGCCUUCCUAAUAUGGCCUCAUGGUUAAAGUGGUGAUAUUUGUAAAGCCUGACUGCUUCUUGGUAACUGUUAGAUUUUUUUUUCUUUUUCUUGAAAAAAAUAAUCUAACCUGGAUUCAGGCCAUAAAACUCUAUGCUUGAUUCACAGUGGCUCUCUUUUGGAAAAAUGCCACAAGACUGCAGUUAUAAGGUGAGGAGUGCAGAGAAACUAAGUGAUCAGUGAGUUAUGAACUUCUGUUGGAUUCACUGUCAUUAGGUAGAAUUGCUCCCAUGGGCCUGUGAAAUGGCUAAAAUUAGCAGAGACAAGCAACAACCCCCCAGGUGUAAAGCAAAUCGAAGAGACUUUAAAAGACUCAUGAUUUAGCUUGUCCCAUCAUUACAAUUAUUUGACAAUAACGAAGUAACAAAAAAAGGAGGUGGGACAUUUGUACCAGUCUCUGGAUCCUCCUUUUCAGUUUUAAGACAGACUCCGUCUGCACCAGUUAUAAUGCCACACUUUGGAGUAUAGGCUCAAGGAAUACUUCGGAGCAAGAAUCCAACUGAAGGGGACAUAUUCCAUCUUCUCCAUUUGUCAGGGCCUUCUCUGGGCAUUUCAAAACCCUUCCAAGCCAAAUAAAGAGUGACAAUUUUGUGCAUCGAUAAUAAUUUAUGCCCUCAUUUCUAAUCUUGUUUUGAAAGCUUGGUUAGAAAAUUGUAAGCCUGAUUCACAAAAAUUGGUAUGUUUUGUACACUGAGCUAAAUACCCUUUCAAGAAAGCUAUAAUUACAGAUUCCCAUGAAUUAAGCUAAUGUUCAAGGAGAAAUCCCAAAUUAUAUCUAUCUACCAAUGCAAAUCUCCUAAACUGCUAACAGAUUGUCACUUCAUGGGUGAGUAACUGGGUUAUGUCUCUUUAAAUUCUCUUGUUUAUCAUUUAAGUGGACUAUCAUUUUGAUUGUAUCUCUUUCCUUUAGUUGUGAAGAUGUAAAAGAACAAAGCCAAGACACAAUAUUUUGGUACAGCAUGUGCUGGUUUGUUCUGGGGAUUUCCACAGGGGUGCUUACUCUUGGGUGGGGCAGGAGAUGCUGAAAAGACCUCAGAGAGAAGCCUAAAGUGUGGGGAGCUCAAAGAAAAAUGACAUGCGUCACCAGUCCUUCUAGAGAUUGUGGGGGAACAACAGUGCCUUCUCUCUUUCCUCACUCAGGUCUUGUUAGUCCUUUGGAGACUUAGAAAAGCUGAGGAAGAACCACCUAGUUCACCCUAUCCCCCAGGUAAUAGAACCUGACUUUAUUCACAUCUGGGUAAAAGAAGUCAAGCUUGGUAUGGGAGAAGAAGCGGAAUAUAGGCACGUAUUGUAAAUAGACAUCUGACUAUUAGGCCCAGACUCUGACGCUCAGAGUGGGCAAAACCAGGAGCUGUCACGGAAUGGGCUCUGCGUUGGGGCCCAGUUUCAAGAAGGCCUCAGAACAACUUUGGAAGAUGAAUUGAUCCUGUUGCAUGAGCCUGGAAGCCUUGUUAAGUCACUUGACCUCCAGUCAGGUCAGCGUAUGGUUAGCUACCCGGACACAUCUUUCUACCAGACACUCUGGCCUUCAGAUUCCAGAGGAGCCAGUGGGCAGGGGUGUCUGUUUUUCACUGACAUUUGCAGGGUGGGUACACCUCUAGAGAGAAGGUCACAUCUCUUGCCAGGAAAUGCAGAGUCUGAGCAAUCGAGGGAAAGGCAGAGGUUAGCUCAACUUCAUCUGCCAUGUGGACCCCCAUGCUGAGCUGAAGAGUGUUCUGGUUAGAAGCAGAUUGUGGGUGGCCAAUGCCUUGCCUAUGGAACUAUAUCAUGGUUAAUUCUGGAUCAUCAGGAAAUCUAAUGAAUUUGACCUGAUUCAAUAAUGUCUUUCACUCAGUAAUCUGAUCACUUCUGUUCCAGGAGUAGCCUUCCUCAGUCUGCCCUAAUCUAAUGGUACGAAAACAGGCAUGUUUAAUUUUAGCCUAUUGCAAAAGAAGACCCAGGGCAGUAGACUGCAUCUACCUUAUGCUUGUUUUUGGAAGGAAAUUUACACUGGCCACGGUCAAUACUCAGCGUGUGACAAUGGUCACUGUCAAGGCCUGUAGGCCCACGCUGGAGAGAGCCUGGCACCUCACAAUGCAAUCCAAUCACUCCAGCUUGUCACAUAUUCAGAAGUUCAGAAAGCUCAGCAGUGACAGGUUUAUUUUUCAGAAACGCUGAGCUACAAAUUACUAAUAUAUCAGGCAGCCAGAAUCACUGGGCUGACUGCAGGUCUGAUUACCAUGGGUAACUGACACUAAGCCAUUCUGGGAGAUCCUCUCCCUUAAAUAGUUACAUUUCAGUGCUGCUGAAAUUCCGUGACCAAUCAGAUGCAGACAAUAGGUAGGGGCUUCUGAUUAGCACUCUGAUUUCCAGCUGUGCUCGAAGUGACUCAGGAGAUCAGUGGAAAAGUAGUUCAGUCACCCCAAAAUGAUAGGUUCCUACUCCUUGUUCCAUUCUCUAUCCCUGGAAAGCCACCAUGGCCCUUCCAAGGCAUUGAAUGUGGCACACUGAGAAUUACAGCAGCCCAGUGCUUUUCAAAGCACAACUGCCUGGGUCAAACAAAGAAACAAAAAAUAAGACUCUAAGGUCACUGCAUUGCUCCCCAAGUGCCCUUGAGACUGAAUCACCCUGGACUUCAUAUCAGAUUUCUCCCUGUUCUGGGGCCACCAAACAAUUCUGAUGGUGGUGGCUAUCCUUAUCAAAACAGUAAAUGUCAUUCCCCAACUGCUUAAACUAUGCUUUAUUUAUCAGUGAGGUGGUAGCCUACCUCAGGAUCACUUUUAUAGUAAUUUCCAUGGUCUUACUAUUUAAAGGAAUGUUUCCAGAAGUAUCUACAUCUGAAUUCACCUGUCUACUGCUAUUACCUAGCCAGGGAUAGUAAGAAAGACACUUUUGGUUGGAAUUUCUCUGGUGUCACAAAAUACAUAGGCAUUAUGACUUGUUCUGCCUACCUUGUAACUGCAAAAUUCACACAGUAUUUUUCCACACGGAAUACCCUCUUCUAUAAUGACUACUGCCACCCUCUUUAUUUCACUGCUAAGAUUGAUACCUCAAAGAGGUAUAAGCCACCCCCAAAAAGCUUAGAGGUGACAUUGAUCAAUGUGUCAAAGACUACUAUAGGCCCACUGUACCAAAUAAUAUGGCUAAGUCCUGACACCGGACAGGGGUGGUGGUGUGGGGGGUGUCUUUUAGGUGGGAGAGUUUAUGGUUCUCAGUCCUACAUAUCUGAGCCAAAUUAAAAUUUAAACACUUUCUUGGAUCCAUUCAAGUUUUCAAGAUCACAAACCCCAUUGUGUUCUUCCUAUAUUUAUCUGUUAAGACAUAGCUUUAAAACAUUUUUUUUUUCUUUUGAGUCAGAGUCUCACUCUGUCACCCAGGCUGGAGUGCAGUGGCA